AACGAACGCUGGCGGCAUGCCUAACACAUGCAAGUCGAACGAGACCUUCGGGUCUAGUGGCGCACGGGUGCGUAACGCGUGGGAAUCUGCCCUUGGGUUCGGAAUAACAGUUGGAAACGACUGCUAAUACCGGAUGAUGACGUAAGUCCAAAGAUUUAUCGCCCAGGGAUGAGCCCGCGUAGGAUUAGCUAGUUGGUGGGGUAAAGGCCUACCAAGGCGACGAUCCUUAGCUGGUCUGAGAGGAUGAUCAGCCACACUGGGACUGAGACACGGCCCAGACUCCUACGGGAGGCAGCAGUGGGGGAUAUUGGACAAUGGGCGAAAGCCUGAUCCAGCAAUGCCGCGUGAGUGAUGAAGGCCUUAGGGUUGUAAAGCUCUUUUACCCGGGAUGAUAAUGACAGUACCGGGAGAAUAAGCCCCGGCUAACUCCGUG
rnacentral:rRNA from 1 species